UACGGAGGGGGACUAGCGUUGUUCGGAAUUACUGGGCGUAAAGCGCACGUAGGCGGAUUUGUAAGUCAGGGGUGAAAUCCCGGGGCUCAACCUCGGAACUGCCUUUGAUACUGCAAAUCUCGAGUCCGGAAGAGGUGAGUGGAAUUCCUAGUGUAGAGGUGAAAUUCGUAGAUAUUAGGAAGAACACCAGUGGCGAAGGCGGCUCACUGGUCCGGUACUGACGCUGAGGUGCGAAAAGCGUGGGGAGCAAACAGG
rnacentral:rRNA from 1 species